GUAAGUUUCUGGCUGGGGAGGGCGCGUGGGGAGGAGAGGGAGGGGUGCAUGUAUACAGAAGGGGGGAGGGGGGAGCAGAUUUCCUGCGGGGAGGCUGAAUGCAUAUGGAGAGUAGAUUUCCUGAAGGGAGGGUGGAGGCGUAGACGGACCGACUCUGCUCGCCCCUCAUCUCACCCCCCAGGCGAAGACUGGUCUUCUUGUCGGAUUGCCCAUGCACUUGUUGCAGAAACAGCCAAGGUCAGGCUACGCAUGGUGUGCAGCAUCUAGUUCUCUGACCAGGGCGGGAGCCCACGCCCCCCGCGCUGGGAGUGGAGUCUUAACCACUGGUCUGCCGGGGAAGUUCCGAAUUGGGCAGUUUAAAGGGUCAGUUCUAUGGUUUGUGAACCGUAUCUCAAUUUUUUUUUAAACUAAAAGGGGAAAAAAAAAAAAGGUCUAAGGUCUUUUGAGGGCUUGGCAUUUAACUCUCUUACCCCUCUGCCCUUGGUGGAUGUGGCUGAUUCCUUGCAGGAGUGGCCGUUCUUCCCUUCCCUGAACCCCUUCCCUCUUCUUAAGCAGCCUUCCUGCAAAGCCUGUUUUCCAGGAAAGAUCUAUUGGAAGACUUCAUCCUCAGCGGAUCUGCGAGUGCUAAGACAUAGUCUCUCCCGAGGCAUUUGCAUAUUAGCUUCUAAAGGGAGAAAGCUUUUAGGUGAGAAAAAGGAACAUUUAAUUUUAGAAUUCCAAGUAAGAACAAGCAAGCGUGUGUGCAAAGUUAUUAUUUUUCACGGGGUGGAGUGCUCUCAGCGCCUCUGAAGCUCCGGGGUGGCAGGUCCCCUUUCCGCCCAUGGAUCUGGCCAACCCUGAGGCAGGGCCAGGCUGGUGAUGAGUAGCAGGCUGAGAAACACCCUUUCAGGAGGAGCAUCUUUGCCCCAGACCCAGCCAGGCUUCUUCUGACAUCUGCCAAAGAGGUUGGCAUUUUGAUUGUGGGGGCUAUUGGUAAGAAAUACCCUUCUGGUCAGGUUCAUUUUCGCUCUGUGGCUGCCCUCAGUUCUUGAAUCGGGUGGGCCCUGUUUGGGAGCGAGCCCUUCCCUGGCUCUGCUCUGCUCUCGCUCCUGUCAGUUCAGUGUCGCUUGUCCUUCCCCGGUGCUCCUUCACCACCACCACCCGCCCACUUCCCUCUGCACAUCUCCUGCCUACUUCCCCGCUGUCACAGCCCCGUCCUCCAAGAUCGGAUGUGGCCCAAGCUUGGUCUCUCUGAGAUUCCCCCUUUAGUCACUGUUAAGCCCUCUUCCUUCAUAUUUUCUGCAGCUCUUGGAUCCCAAGACCUUUAUCUUAAUUAUGUUUGGAUCCUCAGUGCCUAACAUGGUAUUUGUACACAGGAAGCCCUUAAUAAAUGCUUUUGGAUUACACUGAACCAAGCUGGUGUUUGACCCUAUGAGAAAAAUGAACUCAGUGAGGGAGAUGCCGAGGACAUUAUAAGCCUCGGGAAUGACUUGAUGAGAGACAAGGAAAUAGCUUGUGUGGUAUGAAGGGUGGGAGACUGGGGGCAUCUCAGAGCUUCAUGUCAUGAGCUCAGGGCAUCUCUGGAGCUUCCCCGUGGAGGAACUGCUUCUGAGAAGUAUCCUCUCCUGAAAGAUCUCUUGGAUUUCAGGCUUCAUCCUUAGCCAGAAGGAUCUGCAUGAACAAAUAUUUAUUGUGUGUACUGCCAGGCACCGAUCUAGAUUCUGCCACUUGAUUGGAACUCUGUUUGGUGGUGGAGGACCACAGCGCCUCUGAAUAUGCCCUGCCUGGCCUGGAAGAGUUGCUUUUCCUUGAGCCUCUUGAGUUUUAUCCAGAUUCCUAGGGAUGCUAAAGUCUUGAGUGAUGGCUCAUGGGAAAAGUGCAUUGGUGCUUCUGUCUUAAACACUGCUGUUCACACCCUGAUCUGAGGGGAGGGAUGGAGUAAGAAUAAGACAGGGCUGUGAGUUCCACCCCAUGUAUCUGGCAGAUGGACACGGCCCUGGCUCUGUCCGUCAGAGUCCCAGGAUGAGAUGACCGGCAAAGGGUUUACUGGGGAGACUUUAGUGAAGGGGAGUAUUUAGAGAAGGAUGGUCAGGGUUAGGGAAGCCAAAGGGUAGGCAGGCACCCCUGGGGCAGUGGGAGGCUGCUAUCUCCCCCUUGGCCAAGAGGACAGAGCUCUGGAGUUGGGGAGAUGGGGCCCCUGACAAUAGCUGUGAUGCUGGAGGGAUACAACCACUGCCAAGGAAAGUGUAAGUGUUAGUCGCUCAGUCGUGAGUGACUCUGUGCGACCCUAUGGGCUGUAGCCAGGCUCCUCUGUCCAUGGGAUUCUCUAGGCAAGAAUACUGGAGUAGGUUGCCAUUUCCUUCUCCAGGGGAUCCUCCCAACUCAAGGAUCAAACCCAGGUCUCCUGCAUGGCAGGCAGAUUCUUUAUCAUCUGAGCCACCAGGGAAACAGAAGGAAGAGGGGGAUAAAUGCUUUCCCUUUGCCCAAUUCAGCUGGAAGCUUAGGGAGCCCAAGUGCUGCCGUAGGUGGUCCAGUAAGGCAGAGAAGCAUGUGUGAUUCUGUGUGUCUGUGUGUGUGCGCGUGCGCGUGUGCGGGGUUGCGAAUACCCACCACCCCCUGGCUGCUGGGGCAUUUCAAUGCCCAUCUGGCUCUUAUACAUUUCUUAGGUUAUUUAGGACGUGACUGGUCAGCCAGUGUUUCCUUCCUCCCAGCAUCAGGGCUUCUAAAGAAGAAAGUACUGUGUCCCAUCAGCAGGAUGGGCACUGGGUGUUUGACUGUAGCAGGAAUAACGCGAUAUUCAUUGACAGCAGGCACUCAGCAUCCUAAGCAUUUUCCGGGCAUCCUCUUGUUCAGUCUUUGCAAUAACUGCAGCGGGCUGGUUCCGUUCUUAUCCUCAUCUUCAGAGUGGGACUGAGGGAGUUAGUGAGUUGCCCCGUGGCAACAGCUAACAAGAGGCAAAGCUGAUUUUGUCUUUGUCCGUCGCUCUGAUUUUGUCAGCGGUUUUGCCUGACUCCUGCAUGCAUACGUGUACCCACUGCUGCCUCCUGGGUCCCCUUCCUCUGCAGUGGAGCCCUACCCACCCUGUGGUCAGUGCUGCGCUUGUGCGGGGAUGGUCUUCCCACUUCCUCUCCACUUGACCCAAUUGAACCCACUUUUGGAACCCAACUCAGAUCUCACUUCCCCUGUGAGCCCUUCUCCAGCCAUUCCAGCCCCCAGGCCUCCCCCACGCAAGCAGCGGCAGGGGACUGCCCACUAUCCCCUCCAGGGUGUGUUUUCCGGCCAUUUUGAGAGUGUCCAUCUCUUUAAUCUCCAAGAAGGCUCCAGCUUUCUUCAGUACAGAUCUUAGGUCCUGAGUGUUCUUGGAACCCUUCCCUUCCUCUGAAGUUUUAAUUGAAGAGGCUAGAGUAAUUAUUCCAGGGUUCAGGGGACCAACAGCGAUGGUGCCCAGGGACCAAUGAGAUAGAGGAGAUGCCAUUACCCCUGCAAAGCCUGAGGGAACUGCUUCAGAGGGAACUGCCCCAGAGCCCAGGGAGGCCCGGAGCCCUGGGAGAGGGGCCGCGUGGCAGGCGGUGAUGGAUCGGAGGGUUGGUUUUCUCCUUGGUUAGUAAAUGCCCACUGAGAGCCAGCAGGGAGGGUUCAGGGAGGAACAAGAGAAUAAGCUAGAGAUGAGGUCACAGGAGCUUAUGGUCUCAUUGAGUGUUUUCAGGAGAAGUGACAGACACGAAGUCUGAGACAGCACUGUGCUUUCCCAGAGCUGUAUCUGCCCCCAUGUAUCAGCCCUGUGACCACACCCUGUGGAGGUGGAUACAGAGCUGUAUCUCCCCCGGUGUAUCAGCCUGGUGACCACACCCAGUGGAGGUGGACAUGUGAGGAGCUGGAAUUGUCACUGGUCUCCUUCUUACAGGACGGAAGGUGGCGAGGGUAGUCCAAUGUCCCCCAGGAGGAUUUCCCCAAAGGCCUCACACAGGCCACAGAGGCAGCGGGGUGGAGCAUAACCAGUCUGUGUCUCGACAGUUUUAAAGCCUCACGGUUCUUUUGAAAUGUCUCUGAAGGUUCUUGGAACUUUGUAUAAUUGCAGACAUCUUUCACCUUUGGGUCUGACACCGAGCAGAGGGCUAAGCACCAUGUCCCCCCCUCUCCCCAGCCUGCCCCAAACAUCACCCGAGGCUACUUGGUGUUGCACAGGAAGAACCUCAGUGUGGUGUUGCUUAAUCUCACUUUUCUCUAUUCCUAUUUUUUCCACCCACUCCUGUUAGCCUCAACCCAUAGACACUGGAAGGGCAGAGUGAAUUGCGGGGAAGCGGUUGGAAGGAGUAGCAGCAAAUGGAAGGCUGAGAGCCCUUCUCUUGGGCCUCUCUCUUUGUGCUGGCCCUUGUAUAUUUGGUAGAUGUCUUUGGAUUUUUCUUUCUGCUGAGCCUUGGAUGGCCGGGAGGUGCUUCAGACAUUCUAAAUGCCUCUUCUUCCCCAGAACUCAUCACACACCCUCUGAGCUCCAGACCCUCGAGCUCAUGGUUCUGGCUACCUGGAAAACGCUCUCACCCUCUGCGCCUUGUUAGACACCAGGGAGCAGUGGAGUCUGUGGAGGAUUCCACAGCUUCCCCUCCAUCACGAGAGUUUCUGGGCUCCUGGUCUUCAAGCUGUGGGUUUGAAUGUUACUUGGAGUAGGUGUGGCCGCUUGCCUUGGCAGAGACUCAGGAAGGAAGCAAGUAGCGGGUGGGUGACACAGCCUGGGUGAAAACUUAGAGGCAGGAGCCAGUGGAGACACUCAGGAGAGAGCAACCGUUCCGUGUGGCUGAAAUGUGGGGACAAGGGGGAGAUGAAGCUGAAAAGGCCAGCUGGGCCCCAGAAGGGACUCGACCGCUGCGCUUGGUCCUCUUUUCUACAUCAGUUCUUGGGAAGUGCCAGGCUUGGGUGUGGCUGGGGUCAGUUGUAGUGGUAGAUUUGCCCUCUGGAAAGGCUGCAGAAGCCAAGACCUGACUUGGGAGAAAUUGUGCAUUUUUCAAAAAAGGAGAUAUUUCUUCAUAUCAGACUGGAUCACGCUCUGGUCCUGUGGCAUCUUGAUGCUGUGUAGGUUUCAGAGAUCAGAUAAUGCUUUGGUUCAGUUUUUAAACUUUCAAUAUUCUUUAUUACAUAAAUAAAACAUAAUAAAGAUAAGCAAAGAGAAAAAGGAAGUGAGAUUAACGUCACCCAUCAUCCCGCCACCUAGAUAUGGAAACCAUAAAAUAACUUUGAGAGAAUGAACACGGUACUCAACGAAAUCUGGUGGCCAAAAUACUUUGGCAACCUGAUGUGAAGAGCCGACUCAUUAGGAAAGACCCCCGUGCUGGGAAAGAUUGAAGGCAGGAGGAGAAGGGGACAACAGAGGAUGAGAUGGUUGGAUGGCAUUACUGACUCGAUGGACGUGAGUUUGAGUAAACUCCAGGAGUUAGUGAUGGACAGGGAAGCCUGGCGUGCUGCAGUCCAUGGGGUUGCAAAGAGUCGGACACGACUGAGUGACGGAACUGAACUGAACUGAAAUAUCAUUUACAUUGAAAACUUGAGUAUGGAGAUUUCCCCGACACUUGUGUAUUUACAAGGUGGAAGCAAACUGUAGGUGUAUUUUGUAACUUGCUUUGUUUUAUUCUGUGUGUGCAUGUAUGUGUGAUUUUUAUCCCACUUAAAAACUACAUGCUUGCCUCAAACUCAGACUGAAGGGUAUAAAGAGAAACCCCCUGCCCACCUUCCCACUUUAGCCUCUAAUUCUUGUCAAAGGUCGCCUCUAAGUUUCCGGUGCAUCUUGGAGGCAUUGUGCUCAGUGAAAGAAGUCAGAUAAAGACACGAAACUGUGUGAUAUCACUUACACGUGAAAUCUAAAAAAUAAAACAAGCUAGUGAAUAUAAUAAAGAAGCAGAGACAAACAAGUGGUCGCCAGUGAGGAGCAGAAGGUGGGAGGGGCAAAAUAGGGAUAGGGGAGUAAGAGGUAUAAACUAUUAGCUAUGAAAUAAGCCACAAGGAUAUAUUGUACAACACAGGGAGUAUGGGCAAUGUUUUAUUAUAACUGUACAUGCAAUAUAACCUUUAAAAAUUAUGAAUCGCUAUAUUGCACACUUGUAACUUAUUUAAUAUUGUACAGUAACUAGACUUCAAUUUUAAAAAAAUUUCCAGUAUGUCCUUGAUGAGGGAGAGAUUUGAAAGGGAUAAUGUGUAUGGAAGAAUGAAUUGUAAAUAUUGAAUUUUGUGACUCGUAUAAAUAUUAGCUGUCAUGCGUUGGUCAGGAGAAAGGCCAAGGGUGGGUUUGGAGCGACUGGGAAGUAGAUUGUGGUCAAGGAAGGGGCUUUCAGAAAUCAGUAUUGUGGAGGUCAGGAAAGGGGAAGAUGGAGGACUUUUGAGGCCUGGGUCGUAUCUGGAUUUGUCCUGUGGGUGCUGGUGAGGGGCAGGGUGAGUAGAGGUGAGUAAGACUGUGGACAGGGCCAGCUAUGGUCCAGUCUUACCUCCUGGGCAUGGAGAGAUGAUUUGGGGUGGAGAGAUGGCAGGCAUGCAGAUAAGCAUGAGACGUGUCAGGAAGCAGUGGCAGUCACUGAUAGAUAUUUAUAAAAAUACCCUUGUUUGACAAAGUGAAAAGUUGGCAUGUCUGUGUUAGUCCUCCAAAUUAAAAAAAAAAAAAAAGGUUCUAACAAUUGGAUGAAUACGGAAAAUCUGAGCAAGGCAGCAGAACUGGAUGGGGUUUGGAAACGUCAUAUUUGGUUCAGGUUUUGUAUACGGCUAUGCAACUUGGGGCUGCACCUUAAUUUUUUUACAUCUCUGUUUCCUUAUCUGCUGUAGAUCAGGAGUCCUCAACCCUGGCUGCACAUUAAAGUGAAGUGAAGUCGCUCAGUCGUGUCCGACUCUUUGCGACCCCGUGGACUGUAGCCCACCAAGCUCCUCUGUCCAUGGGAUUCUCCAGGCAAGACUACUAGAGUGGGUUGCCAUUUCC
ensembl:lncRNA